ACGAUCCCUAGCUGGUCGGAGAGGAUGGCCAGCCACACUAGAUGUGAGACACGGUCCAGACUCCUGCGGGAGGCAGCAGUGGGGAAUAUUGCACAAUGGGCGCAAGCCUGAUGCAGCCAUGCCGCGUGUAUGAAGAAGGCAUUCGGGUUGUAAAGUACUUUCAGCGGGGAGGAAGGUGUUGUGGUUAAUAACCUCAGCGAUUGACGUUACCCGCAGAAGAAGCACCGGCUAACUCCGUGCCAGCAGCCGCGGUAAUACGGAGGGUGCAAGCGUUAAUCGGAAUUACUGGGGCGUAAAGCGCACGCAGGCGGUCUGUCAAGUCGGAUGUGAAAUCCCCGGGCUCAACCUGGGAACUGCAUUCGAAACUGGCAGGCUAGAGUCUUGUAGAGGGGGGUAGAAUUCCAGGUGUAGCGGUGAAAUGCGUAGAGAUCUGGAGGAAUACCGGUGGCGAAGGCGGCCCCCUGGACAAAGACUGACGCUCAGGUGCGAAA
rnacentral:rRNA from 1 species